UACGGAGGGUGCAAGCGUUAUCCGGAUUCACUGGGUUUAAAGGGAGCGUAGGUGGCUUUGUAAGUCAGUGGUGAAAUAUUGCGGCUCAACCGCAAAACUGCCAUUGAUACUGCUUAGCUUGAAUCACGUCGAGGUGGAUGGAAUAAUACAUGUAGCGGUGAAAUGCUUAGAUAUGUAUUAGAACACCGAUUGCGAAGGCAGUUCACUAGGCGUGUAUUGACGCUGAGGCUCGAAAGCGUGGGGAUCAAACAGG
rnacentral:rRNA from 1 species